UGGGGAAUAUUGGACAAUGGGCGAAAGCCUGAUCCAGCCAUGCCGCGUGUGUGAAGAAGGUCUUCGGAUUGUAAAGCACUUUAAGUUGGGAGGAAGGGCAUUAACCUAAUACGUUAGUGUUUUGACGUUACCGACAGAAUAAGCACCGGCUAACUCUGUGCCAGCAGCCGCGGUAAUACAGAGGGUGCAAGCGUUAAUCGGAAUUACUGGGCGUAAAGCGCGCGUAGGUGGUUUGUUAAGUUGGAUGUGAAAUCCCCGGGCUCAACCUGGGAACUGCAUUCAAAACUGACUGACUAGAGUAGGGUAGAGGGGGGUGGAAUUUCCUGUGUAGCGGUGAAAUGCGUAGAUAUAGGAAGGAACACCAGUGGCGAAGGCGACCACCUGGACUAAUACUGACACUGAGGUGCGAAAGCGUGGGGAGCAAACA
rnacentral:rRNA from 1 species